rnacentral:lncRNA from 10 species
UGUGUCUUAGAAUGGAUGGAUUUCAGUGAAAGAAAUCCUAGAGUUAGAAAUAAGACCAAGAAGGAGUGAAGUCACUUUGGAGUGAAAAUUCAGAGCUUUUCUGGCUGGAUCAGAUAUAUCACCCUCCUGAAUCACAAGAUAACAUCUCAUAUCCCACAUCUCCUUAUCUCAUGAAUUGGAACUUAAUUCUUUCCAUGAGAGUUUUAACAGCUGCACUGCUUUGGGAGAAUUUGGCUUCAACAUUUCUUCUAGGGCAACUCUGAAUACAGCAGAUGUGAAAUUAUCAUGUUUCCAGCUCGCACCCUCAUGCUGAGAUGACCCACUCAUGAAACAACCUGAAGCCUUUUCCCCCAGUUUCAGAGAAAGAAAGAGACCCACCAUUUGAGCAUAGCGGUGAACUGAAGGAGAGUGCAAUGACACAACCACCACCAAGGAAUGCAGUGGAUACUGAUUAUAAAGGAUUUGGACAACUGUAAGGAAAACUGGAAAACAAUAUGGAGGAAAAUUUGGACACACUCUUACAGAAGAAGAUGAUGGUAAGACACACUGGGAUAAAAUGGCCGUGGAACAGAUGGAGGCAGAGAUUGGGGUUAUGCUGUGACAAACCAAGUUCUGCUAGAAACUGGAAGAGGCAAAGAAGGAUCUUCACCAAAGAAUUCAGAGGAAGUACAGCACUACCAGCAUUUUGCUUCUGGACGUCUGGCCUCCGGAACUAUGAGAAUAAGUUUCUGUUAUUUUCUGUUAUUUUAAGCCACAAAGUCUGUGGUUCUUUGUUCCGGCAGCCCUAAUAACUAAUACAAAUAUAUUUACAUUUAAAGAAAUGCAGGGAAGGAAGUGUAGGAUUUUCAUGUACUCCACCCUCAGUUUCCCAUAUUGUUAACAAUUUACAUUUGUAUGGGACACAUGUCACAGUUACUAGCCAGGAUCCAUACUUUAUUCAGAUUUCACAGUUUUUACCUUAAGUAUCCUUUCUAUAUUUGUAGAUCUCAUCUAGAAUACCUCAUUACAUUUAGUCAUCAUGUCAUUUUAAGAUACUGUAGAUUGUGAUAGGUUUUCAGGUUUUCCUUGUUUUUGAUGACCUUGACAGUUUUAAGGACUACCAGCCAAAUAUUUUUUAGAAUAUUUUUCAUUUGAUUUUGCCUAUUUUUUUUCUUAUAUUAGACUGUGAUAUAGGUUUGGAAGAGGAAGAUUAGAGGUAAGAUGCCAUUCUUGUCAAAUCAUGCCAAGAGUUUGUACUAUAAACAUUACCUGUCACUGUUGAGAUUAAACCUUGGUCACCUGGCUGAAGUAGUUUGUCAGUUUUCUCCACUGUGAAGUUACUCUUUCUGCUUCCCUUUUCCACACUGUACUAUUUAAAAGGAAGUCACUAUACAUAGUCCUCUGUUAAGAAGUAAGGAGUUAGGCUCAACUUCUUUGAGGCAAGGUUUGCUACCAAAACUAUUUUGAAUUACCUUACACAGGAAAAUCGGAUUUAUUUAUAGUUGUUCAAAAUUGGACACAUUCAAGAUAUCCUUCCAUAGGUGAAUGGAUAAACUGUUACAGCCAUACAAUGAAAUAUUAUUCAACCAUGUAAAGAAAUAAGCUAUCAUGCCACAAAAAGACAUAGUGGAUCCUUAAACACAUAUUAUCACAUAAGAGAAACCAGUCUAAAAAUAUUGGAUACUGUAUGAUUCCAAUUACAUGACAUUCUUGAAUUGGAAAACUGCAGAGGCAGUAAGAAGAUUAGUGGUUUUCAAGGGUUAAGGGGCAUGGAGGAAGGGAUGAACAGAUAGAGCCCAGAGAGUGAUAAAGGUGGUAAAAUUAUGCUGUAGGAUACUGAGUAGACCGUGCAUGUAAUUGUGGAUACAUGACAUUAUUGUGAAAACCUAUAGAACAAUACCAUACAAAGAGCAAACCCUAAUGUAAACUAUGGCUUUACUUAAUAAUAAUAUUGGUUCAUCAAUUGUAACAAAUGUACCAUCAUCAGUGUAAGAUGUUAAUAAUAGGGAAAGUUGUAUGUUGUGGCUGGGGAGAAAGAAAAGAAGUAUACAGGUACUCUCUGAAUGUUCUGCUAAAAUUUCUUGUAAAACAAUAAAAAAUAAUAAAUAUCAAAAAAUAAAAAUAUAAUAACUAUUUUUAAAUUAUCUAUAUUAUUAUAUAUA